rnacentral:rRNA from 1 species
UUUAUGGAGAGUUUGAUCCUGGCUCAGGAUGAACGCUGGCGGCGUGCCUAAUACAUGCAAGUCGAGCGAACGGACGAGAAGCUUGCUUCUCUGAUGUUAGCGGCGGACGGGUGAGUAACACGUGGAUAACCUACCUAUAAGACUGGGAUAACUUCGGGAAACCGGAGCUAAUACCGGAU